UUUAAGGGGAAGCACACUUUUCUGGCGAUCAUCAAACAUUGGUCGGAUCUAAAGAGGAGGCAUAUCGGGUGGAUCAGUGACAUCUGUGACAGGAAAUGCCCAGGUGUUCCCACUCCCUGUCCACCGCAGGCCUUCCACAGAGGAUCUGGAGGUAGUGGUGGUGUCCGCGGAGGAGGAGGGAGGAUGUGCCACCCCCUCCUGAUGUGGGCAAAGUAGUGGAGGUGGACGCUAAAGAAGCCGGACUCGCCCAGGACCCGGUUUCACCCCCCCCAAGUCCUGAUGAGGAGGAGGAGGAAGUCACCAGCCCCCGCUAGAAGGUAAGGCUGCUGCAACAGGAGCGCCUAAAAUCAAUGCAGGAACUCCAGGAGCAGCACAGGAAGCAGCAGCUGAUUUUUGACAGAAAGGUGCAGCAGAUAGAGGAGCAGCACCAUCAGAG